GAGAGAGGAAAGCGGGGGACCGUAAGGCCUCGCGCGACCGGGUUGGCCGAUGUCCGAUUAGCUAGUUGGUGGGGUAAAGGCUUACCAAGGCGAUGAUCGGUAGCUGGUCUGAGAGGAUGAUCAGCCACACUGGGACUGAGACACGGCCCAGACUCCUACGGGAGGCAGCAGUGGAGAAUUUUGGACAAUGGGGGCAACCCUGAUCCAGCCAUUCCGCGUGAGUGAAGAAGGCCUUCGGGUUGUAAAGCUCUUUUGUCCGGAGCGAAACGGUUGUGGUGAAUAUCCGCGACUACUGACGGUACCGGAAGAAUAAGCACCGGCUAACUACGUGCCAGCAGCCGCGGUAA
rnacentral:rRNA from 1 species